AGUAUGAGGUAUAGUAUUCACAGUGAUGAGGCUCCUCCCCCUCUUUCUUUACUGCUCCAUCAGCAGACAGGUCAGAGUUUUUGGCUCUUCCCUUUUACUUACUGUAUUUAUUUCUAUAUGUUUAUUUUAUGUUCUCUAUGAUAUAUCCUUACAUGUAGUUACUGUGUAGUACUGCUUCAGGUGGGCUUUUUCUUUUAUUGUUCUUUUAUAUGUACUGUGCUAGUGGUUUGUACUUUCUGUUGUAUUAUUAGGGCAGACUUUUUAUGGAAGCACUUUCCUCUCCUUUUUUAUCCCUUUAUCUCUGCCCCCUUGAACUUUACUCUUCUGGGGAUUUUUCCUCUCCCCCCUUCAGGAUCUUCUCCUGUCUCUCCCCCCCCCCUCCCUUUUCCCACUCGGUCCGCCAGCUUUCUCCGCCGUCGGACCGACCGCAAACGCCCACCUCUUUCUCUGAGGGUAACGCUCACCCUCCUCCACCCUACUCCUUCCUCGCGGCUUCACAGCCGCACUCACUCUGGUCGCGCGGCGGGAA